GGGCUUGAUUGCGAAAUCCCCAGCUAACCAGAUAGACUGUCUGCUGUGCCUCCCAAACAUAUAGCCCAAAAAAAACCUUUUCCUGGACAGCACCCUCACACUAAUAUAUACAUAUAUAAUCGCCCAUACUGUCCAAAUAGCACCCUGAUCAGAGGAUCCAUGCCGAAGUUAUAGCAUAUUAACGAUUGACCAGGUCGUGGCUAUUCUUUGAUCCAACUUACAGUUCCAGGCGUGUGGCUGUUUUUCCUUGGUCUUACAAAAAGGGGUUACUAAGGCCCGGGAAGGCUGGCAC